UCCUACGGGGGGCAGCAGUGAGGAAUAUUGGUCAAUGGUCGGGAGACUGAACCAGCCAAGCCGCGUGAGGGAUGAAGGUACAGAGUAUCGUAAACCUCUUUUGUCAGGGAACAAAGGCGGGGACGCGUCCCCGGAUGAGUGUACCUGAAGAAAAAGCAUCGGCUAACUCCGUGCCAGCAGCCGCGGUAAUACGGAGGAUGCGAGCGUUAUCCGGAUUUAUUGGGUUUAAAGGGAGCGUAGACGGCCGUGCAAGUCUGAUGUGAAAACCCGGGGCUCAACCCCGGGACUGCAUUGGAAACUGCAUG
rnacentral:rRNA from 1 species